UCCCUGGUGGCUCAGAUGGUAAAGCAUCUGUCUGCAACACAGGAGACCCAGGUUCGAUCCCUGGGUCGGGGAG
rnacentral:tRNA from 1 species